rnacentral:lncRNA from 1 species
GUGUGCGUACAACCCUACAACCCGUGCCUGCCUAAAUCGUGUCACUGCAGGCUCCUGGUUCGACACCCGGGCUACUGAUGCCCAGAGAAGGGAGGUGACUGGGAGCCUAGUCAUGGCACAUCAUGAGGGCGCCCGAGGACUCCUGACCCCCUGGCGAGGGGGCCCUCUGUGAUGGCAUGUCACAGCCCUGGGCGCUCGGGGAUCUCCUCUCCCCUCACGCCGGUGGGAGAGGAAGGGAUCCCAAACGGCACCCUGUCCACCUCCGACGCCAACCGUCCCCUGGUGCAGAGGAAACCAGCUUUCUGCUGGUCGGAGGAGCGUUUCAGAAGAGGAAGCAAAAACCGAGCUGGGCAGAGCUGAUGGAAAAAGGAAGACAACUCUUAUUUCUCAUUGCCUCAUGUGGAUCAAUGCUUAGAGGUACAUUCUCUAUACAAGAAGACAUUACAGACUUGGAGGGGUGGGUAACAUGUUCCAGAGGUUUUGGUCAGAAGGUGAUACAAGUGGGACAGAACUCGGAUAUUUCAAAGUCACCUCUUUUUUUUUUUUUUUAACCAUAUUACCUCUUUAUUAAAGAAGAAGAAGAAGAAGAAGAAGAAGAAGAAGAAGAAGAAGAAGAAGAAGAAGAAGAAGAAGAAGAAGAAAGAAAGAAAAGACUUACCUUGUGCAGGUACACUGGACUUGAGAAACAGAAUGCUGUUGCUACAGGCACACACGGCCCCCAGCCCCCGCAGAGGCUGGCCCGAACUCCACAGAGCUCCCACACUCCCUGAGGCCCAUGGAUCUGAGCUGACUGUUGCUCACCAGUGCUCUGCUCAGAGUUUCUCCAGAAGCAACUCCAGGUAUCUUUACUGAGAAACAGGAAGACCAUUCUUUACAUUCUGGGGAAAAGACCCGAGUCUGGCUUUCAAGGCCUCAGGGAAAGAAUUUUCCAGCUGGGAGCAUAUAGCCACUGUGAGCCAUCAGCCAUCAGGAUGUUGCAUAGCCACGGACAGGGAUAGAUGUCCCUCAGUGAAAAAGAAAGUCAGACCUUGAUUGAACACCCAGGGAAAUACCACACAUACCAAAAACUUAAUAAAGAGAUUUUCCAAAAAGCUGCAGACAGAGCACUGCUUUGUGUCUCAUCCCCAAGUGCACAUCCCCCUUGACUCACAGCAUGAAGCGGCCACAAAGGAACAUCCUCAUCUUCCCACGACCCUCCCAGCCUGCGUGCUGCCCUCCUGCUGAGAAGGACGAGAUGGGGGCUCCUGCGGCAGCCAGGCUGGACUAGAUCUCAGCUUCUUCCCAGUGCGCACACUUGGUGUCUACAACCGAAGUCCAUCGUCUCCCUGCCCUUGGUCUACCCUUCCAUCCGAGGGUCAUUCCUGCACAGUCUGCUCUCCACCGCCCCAUCCUAAGAAGUGGAAGGCAGAGGAUGAUGCUGAACAUCCUUGGCUCAAGCACUGUGCUGAAGAGAUGAUCAUUUGGAUUCUGUUUAUGCAUAAAAAAACCCAGGAGUACAUGUGACAAUGCAGUAAUGCAUAUUUUCAAAUAUCAAAAUAAAAUAUGGCCUAGCUGGAUCUGACAUAGUGCACAAAUGAAUUCAGAGGCAAUUAAAUGGAAUUUCAACACUCCGUAUAAAAAGGACUUGAGCAGGAAAUGCGAGACCAUGAACACCUCAUCACCCAAGUCAUGCUGCAACCCCUCCUGCCCCUUCCGGUUGAAACCAUGUGGAAGACACACGUGAGAAAGAGAGCACAUGAAGGGAAGGCUGAGGGAGAAGAAGAGACAGAGUCUCCAGCCGACUGCCCUGCUGAACUCAGAGCCCGAUGUGGUGCUCGAUCCCAUGACCCUGAGAUCACAGCCUACGCUGAAACCAAGAGUCGGACACUUAGUCGACUGAGCCACCCAGGGGCCCCUUGUUUUUCAUCUAUAACAAAGGGACAAUUCUAUCAGCGUUUCAAGGUGACUGUGAGUCACAUAAAAGUUAAACGAGAUCAUAUGUGCAAAGUGCUUGGUGAGGGCCCAAGGCAACCAGGAGUCCUGCAAGCCAGCUUUUCUCCUUCUUCCAGCAAGAGCGUGGACACUACCACCACCACUAGGUAGGUUCCUGCAGACUCCUGCUGUGUUAACUUGUCCCACGCCACUGCCUUUAUUCUGCAAACUUGUGACAACACCAGGAUCCUUUCUAAAAGGUGCUUGCAUUCAAGGGAACAGAGGACUCUGGGAGCCAGGAGCACCACGUGGCCUCUGUGCCGAAGAGUGAGUCGCUGAGAAAGGCAGCUCAUUUCUCUAGGAUGCCUGCAUGUCCUUCCUGUUGUUAAUGUAUAUGCAGAACUUGAAAGAGUUUCUAGCAGAGAGACUGUGGAUAGGUGUAAGGCCUUGCUCUUCAUGUGCCCUUGAGCUCUCCCUACUUCUGUGCUGACAACACCGCAGAAAGAGAGGAAUAAAACACUUGGAAUGGCCCACACUCAUGUGGGAGAACAAAUUUGUGAGUCUUCUCUAGACUGCCAAAUCGUUCGAAGAGUGUAGAGCUGGAACUGCAGUUGGGUAGGAUAAGGCUUAAAAUGUCAGGCAUGCACAGUCUACGCACCAACAUCUUCAACAGUGGAGAACACUGAAGCUUUCCCUGCUGAUAUAGGAAAUGAGACAAGGAAACCUUGCACUGAAAUUGGAAGAAAAACUAAACAUUGCAGAUAAAGGAUGCUGUCAUGGAGGGAAGAAAGAGCGGGACAGAUCAGGGAAGGAAGUUAGACUUCCCCGAAUACAUCUUAUUUUAUAGAUUUGAUUUCAGGGCUAUGUAUAGUUUUACUUAAGACGAAAUUAACCAAAA